AAACCAACAGGGAUUGCCUUAGUAGCGGCGAGUGAAGCGGCAAAAGCUCAAAUUUGAAAUCUGGCGCCUUCGGUGUCCGAGUUGUAAUUUGAAGAUUGUAACCUUGGGGUUGGCUCUUGUCUAUGUUUCUUGGAACAGGACGUCACAGAGGGUGAGAAUCCCGUGCGAUGAGAUGCCCAAUCCUAUGUAAGGUGCUUUCGAAGAGUCGAGUUGUUUGGGAAUGCAGCUCUAAGUGGGUGGUAAAUUCCAUCUAAAGCUAAAUAUUGGCGAGAGACCGAUAGCGAACAAGUACAGUGAUGGAAAGAUGAAAAGAACUUUGAAAAGAGAGUGAAAAAGUACGUGAAAUUGUUGAAAGGGAAGGGUUUGAGAUCAGACUCGAUAUUUUGUGAGCCUUGCCUUCGUGGCGGGGUGACCCGCAGCUUAUCGGGCCAGCAUCGGUUUGGGCGGUAGGAUAAUGGCGUAGGAAUGUGACUUUACUUCGGUGAAGUGUUAUAGCCUGCGUUGAUGCUGCCUGCCUA
rnacentral:rRNA from 1 species